CGAACUAUUGAGUACUAAGUAUUAACGAAGGUAGAAGUAGGAGAUCGUGAGUGGACCGGAAAGGAAGGAAUUUAUAUUUGCGAGUGUGUUGUCGACGUAACAAGCGAUUUGGAUAAAAAGUUGAAGUGCAUUAGUAAAUACGACAACGUCGACGACCUGUAGAACGACACCUGCUUUUCUCGAAACGAGAGACGAAGACACGGUGACGGCGGGGGCGGCCAUACUCAAACAACCGCCGAGCGAAGUGCGCGGCACAGCGCAGAAAUGAAACGAUAAUAAAGCGCAUUAUAUCGUUCGUAAACCCGGGAAGACGGUAACGGGUGUAAGUGCCUCCAUUGAAACGUACAGAAAAGAAUUACAAAAGGAAGUGAAGACGGAAGUGUGGGAAGUGUAAAGAAAGAGAGGAAAGCGGCCCGACGAAUCGAGGCGCAGGGAACGAUAUGAGUGCAAAGACAGACGUGAACAGGCGGGUCCUAGCGAUUCAGGCCAAAAAAAAAAGGCACAAGCCAAGCAAACGAAAAGGAAAGGGAAAUACUCAAGAUGAAUCAGAAACAUCAGGAGCUCAAUGUUCGAAGGCAUCGACUACUCAACAAGGACAAGGAUCGGGUUUUUAUCAGGAUGCUUCUGCACAGAGACCAUAUUUCAGUGACAAUGGAAACAGAUUGGAACCAUGUCAUAGCUCAAGUAAUGAAACAAUGGAAGAUGGUGAUGAAGUAUACAGUAGUGAGGAAGAAGAACAAGAAGACAGCAGUGAUUAUUGCAAAGGAGGAUAUCAUCCUGUUAAAAUAGGAGAUUUAUUCUUAAAUCGCUAUCAUGUAACUCGUAAACUUGGUUGGGGUCAUUUUUCAACAGUCUGGCUCUGUUGGGAUUUACAAGAUAAACGAUUUGUGGCAUUGAAAGUUGUCAAAUCUGCAUCUCAUUUUACCGAAACUGCAUUGGAUGAAAUUAAAUUAUUAAAAGACGUGCGUGAUACGGAUCCUAGUGAUCCUAAGCGUAAUAAAACCGUCCAGUUACUCAAUGACUUCAAGAUCAGUGGCAUUAAUGGUCUGCAUGUUUGCAUGGUAUUUGAAGUGCUUGGGCAUAAUCUUCUUAAAUUGAUCAUCAAAUCCAACUAUAGAGGAAUUCCAAGAAAUAAUGUUAAACGUAUUAUCAGACAAGUUCUUGAAGGUCUUGAUUAUCUACACAAUAAAUGUAAAAUUAUUCAUACAGAUAUUAAACCUGAAAAUGUCCUUGUUUGUGUUGAUGAAGCUUAUAUAAGAAAAUUGGCUUGUGAAGCUACAGAAUUGCAUUCACUUGGAAUGAAAUUGCCAGUAUCUUUAAUUUCAACUGCACCAAAGGAAUUUCAAGAACCUACUCCCAAUUCUAAAAUGUCAAAAAAUAAAAAAAAGAAGCUUAAAAAGAAAGCUAAGCGUCAGAAUGAGCUAUUAAAGAAACAAAUGGAACAAAUAGAAGAACUUGAGGAGCAAGAUAAACUUGCAAAUAGCACAAGAGCAAAUGGUGAAUUAGAAACAAAUAGUCCAGAUCAAGAUAUAAACACAGAAAGUAUAGAAGAUAAUACUGAAAGCAAAGGUUCACCUGAUAUUUCAGAACCAUCUGCACCUUCAUUGCACAUAAAUGGUGUAGAUAGUUUAGCAGGUGAGGAAAAAGUAGAAAAUCAAUUAUCUCAACAAUCUGAAAAAAUGGAAAAUGCAAAUUCAUGUGAUGUAGAAAAAAAUUGUGGUGAAGGAGUUCAUUCACCUGAUCAUGAAGAUACAGAUGAAUGUAGCGAAGGUCGUAAUUUACAUCCUCCUGAAAGUAAACAAUUAAAACGAGCAUCUGUAGCUCCUCUAGAUCCUGCCCUAGUAGAAUGUGAUGUUGAAGUCAAAAUUGCAGACUUGGGUAAUGCAUGUUGGGUUUACAAAAAAUUUACAGAUGAUAUUCAAACUCGUCAAUACAGAUCAUUAGAAGUGUUAUUAGGAUCUGGAUAUGAUACAUCUGCAGAUAUAUGGUCCACUGCCUGUAUGGCAUUUGAAUUAGCGACUGGUGAUUAUCUCUUUGAGCCACAUAGUGGCAAUUAUUAUUGCAGAGAUGAAGAUCAUUUAGCACACAUUAUUGAAUUACUUGGAGAAAUACCAAGACAUAUUGCUCUUUCUGGCAAAAACUCAUAUAAGUACUUCAAUAAGAAAGGUGGAUUAAAACGAAUUACUGGAUUAAAACCUUGGGGACUGUACGAGGUGCUUACAGAAAAAUAUGAUUGGUCGCCAAGAGAAGCGCGCGAGUUUGAAGAGUUCCUAACUCCGAUGCUCGAGUUUGACCCGAGUAUGCGAGCUACAGCAGCAGAGUGCCUGAAGCAUCCAUGGCUGCAAAUCAAAAAGUGAUCAUGUUUUUUAUCAUUUUAUCUUUAAAUUCUUCAACUCUACAUCUACCAUCCUGAUGUAAUUACAUGUCGAGAGUGUGACAAGAGGCAACGACCGGCAAUGGUCAGGUUCUUUCACGUUAUAUACAUUGUUUUAUUUUCGCCAAAGGAGAUAUAUAAUAUUGGGACAAUUGGAGAAGAAAGAACUUGCUACAUUCCACCAAAUUCCAAUAUUUGCAGCAGUUGGAUAUGCUUCUAAUUGUAACACUCUCGAUGAUGGCUGCCUACUUGUGUAUUUAUAAAUUUGUUAAAUCAUGUUUUUCAUUUAGUAAUGCUAUCUUAAAUUAAAAUUUCGUAGUACUUUAUUAUUUUACACGGUCAUCGUUAUAUUAUCCUUUAUACUACUUGUCACUUAAUUUAUCAAAUAUCCCAAGAGUCAUGGGACCUACUCAUAAUGUACUUUAAAAAAGGGCAGGCCCAUUGUUAUACUAUAAUGAAUAUUGAAAUUUUCAUUAAAAUUUCUUUUGCAUUAAAUUGAUUAUUCGAAAUUUAUUUAUAGCAGGCUUUUUCUCUGUGAUCUCUCCUUGUGCUUAAUUAGUGUUCAGGAAAGUAUAAUAAUCAUUAUUAUUGUCUCGAUGAAAAAAUACUCAUAACACAUACGCCGGAACGUGUGUUUAAGGAACUGAAUCUUUGUACAAAUUCAAUGAAUGCAGAAAUACAUAUAUUGUUAGUAUAAUUAAGAGUUGGUCGCCAGAUUCUUGGUAAAAUAAUUAAUAUGAUUCGGAAUAAGACAGUGCAUACUUUAUCCAAUUACAAUAAAUAAACUGGCAAAAAG